rnacentral:rRNA from 1 species
UUCCAGCUCCAAUAGCGUAUAUUAAAGUUGCUGCAGUUAAAAAGCUCGUAGUUGGAUCUUGGGAGCGGGCGGGCGGUCCGCCGCGAGGCGAGCCACCGCCCGUCCCCGCCCCUUGCCUCUCGGCGCCCCCUCGAUGCUCUUAGCUGAGUGUCCCGCGGGGCCCGAAGCGUUUACUUUGAAAAAAUUAGAGUGUUCAAAGCAGGCCCGAGCCGCCUGGAUACCGCAGCUAGGAAUAAUGGAAUAGGACCGCGGUUCUAUUUUGUUGGUUUUCGGAACUGAGGCCAUGAUUAAGAGGGACGGCCGGGGGCAUUCGUAUUGCGCCGCUAGAGGUGAAAUUCUUGGACCGGCGCAAGACGGACCAGAGCGAAAGCAUUUGCCAAGAAUGUUUUCAUCG